AUAUCAUGUUAAAACAUCGGUUCUCAUACGAACACCGAGGUUAAGCAACAUCAAACCUGGUCAGUACCUAGAUGGGUGACUACAUUGGAAUACCAGGCACUGCAAG